AGGUGCGAUCAUAUCAGCACUAAUGCACCGGAUCCCAUCAGAACUCCGCAGUUACGCGUGCUUGGACGAGAGUAGUACUAGGAUGGGUGACCUCCUUGGAAGUCCUUGUGUUUAACCUC
rnacentral:rRNA from 2 species